GAUUUCUCUCUCCUCCUCCAAAUCCUCUCUAUUGCUUGGAACGCUCUUGGAACGCUUCGGUCCCCACGGUCCUCUCACAUCUUCAAUCGAAGAUUCAGCUCAAAAUUCAAUUCAUCAAUGGAGUUUUCGCAUAAUAUGUAUGUAUUUAAGAAGAUACCCAUAGCUAAAACGAGAAGUUUAAGAGAACAACUCUCCAGGAGGUGAAUGCAGAAGGAUAUAACCCAAUGCAUUUAGCAUCAAGAAAUGGACACCUACAGAUAGCAAGAGAGAUCAUCAUCACAACCGACUCAAAUGUUUUCCGUAUUGAAGGAAAAGACGGGACUACCGCUCUUCAUUUAGCAGUUUUAGGAGGGAGGGUUGACGUGAUAAGAGAAAUACUAGUUAAUUGUGAAGGAUGUAUGGAAGAUGUGACGGUGUAGAAAGAGACUGCUUUGCAUCUUGCUGUCAAGAACAUUCAGGUUGAGAGCUUUCGGGUUUUGUUGGAUUGGACCAGGGAAUCGGAGAAAGAAGAGAUUCUGAAUGGAAAGGAUGAACAUGGGAAUACCAUCCUGCAACUUGCAAUCUGGAAGAAGCGAAGACAGGCAAGUGUUACAAUUUGGUUACAAUUUCCCUGCUCUCUUAAACUUAUAAAAAUCUGCAAAUAUAUGAAGUAUAUUUUUGGUUACAAUUUCCCAGCUCUCUUAAACAUUUAAAAAUCAGUUUUGAUCAGUUUUAACCCGUAAUGAUCAGUAAAUGGUUAACUACAUAUUACUUUUACUUCAACUUUCCUGAUUAAUUGGUAUUUACUUUUAAGUCGAUUCUAUUUACUUAUAUGAGUUAUUUGUCUACUUUAACAUUGAAUAAAAGGCAAAAUGUGCAAUUUCAUUAUUA